CCUGCCAAGGCGCUCUACGGAGGCGGCGGCGGCGGCGUGCUCCACCGCAUUCCGCCCCAAUCCGGCGGGCUCCGUCCGCCUGCUCCGGCGAAGUCCGGCCGCCUGCCCCGUCCACCUCCUUUUCAACCACCCGGACCUCCUCCCGCCGGCAUCCCCCGUGGGAACGGCCUCCUCCGUCGCCUGCCUACAACGGCGAUGCAUUUCUCCAGGCGCGCGCAGAUGGGCGGGCCGGAGCAGCCCCAGCCACGGCCGACGGUCCCGGCGGACUCCCUCCCCUCCCUGCCCCGCGGCCAGGAACCCGCCGACGUCAUCCGCUCUGUCAUUCCCCUUCUUCCAAUUCCGGCCAAUUGGAUCCCUGCGGUCAUACUCAGGACAUCCAAGUAGGGACUUGAAUUCAUGGACAUGGCAUCAUCCUUAUUACUCCUACAAGAGACAUCCCCGGCCGGCCGGCGGCAGUACGGUGACGCAAAGAACCGGUCCGACGUCUGCUCCCUGCCUCAGCAAGCAAGCGAGGGUGCGUGUAGAUUUGUGACCCAACUGAAAUAAUUCUGUGCCGGAAGAUUUUGCUGCUGUCCUGGCCAUCUUGAAGACGUUUGGUGAUGCAUCCAGGCUGAGAACUAACAUUGCGAAGAGUGUGGCUUAUCCUACUUCCUGUGAUGGUAUCGAAUUAUAUCGUAUACUGUGUGAUUUUGGUGGAGUGCAAGCUUAUUGGCCAUGGGUAUCUGGGUUUGCCUGUAGGGUUCAGAAAGCCGAGCUAUAGCCGGUUGUGCUUGACUAGGCUGCCGGCAAGCUCUCGCCAUGGAAAGAGUGCCUUCUCAACAGAACAUGGAAGACUGGUGCUUAUUAACUGGGUGGUGACUGCAAAUGCUACA